AGGAUAAUAGUUAAAAAUAACGUUUAAUUUGCAUUUAAAAAGUACUGAUUAAAACAGUUUAUCUUU